UCUGAAAUGAGCAGCAAGUGCUCUCUUAAGUUCUGAGUUCUCUCUGUCACCCACUGCUGUGGGUUUUGCAACUUCAGAAAUUCAUUCUUCCAAGUGCCCUGUUAAGUAAGUGUUGAUAAAUAUUUUUCAUGAGGGCGGAAUCAACUAAGCUAUCAUGAUUCCAAACUGGCAAUAUAUUCCAAUGGGAAAAGUACCAAAUUUAGAGCCAGAAGUUCUGUUUUUGAGUUCCUAACCUUGAUGCUUACCAGAUGAAUGACCUUGGGCAGCUUUCUUAAACUUGAAAUUCAGCUUUCUCAUAUUCAAAAUGCAAAUAGUAAUAAUUCUGCCAUAUCAGGCUAUUAGAAAUAUUGUUAGAAACUAAUGGGGUAUGAAGGCAUGAUUUUUAAAUUAUAAAAUAAUACGCACAUGUUCAUUAUUAUUUGUGGUUCUCACAGGCUCUCUCAAAGAUUUUUCUCUAACAUCUGAAGGGACAUCACUCAGGUUCAGGAACUAGCCAUGAACUGUCGACUGCAUCCGCCUUGCUCCAAACAAUCAUGAUUGUUUCAACAUCUGUCUUCUUUGACAAUACCCUAUGCCUCUGCACACAGCCAUCAUCUAUAAGAAUCAUUGCUGUGGGACCCGAACACCUUCGAGAUAGCACUUUUCUUCAUUUCUGGGAAGUCCGACCUGCCUAAAUCAUUAUUGCAUCUGAACAGAGUUUGCAGACAGAUUUCCGGAAUACCAACUUCAGGAGCAAUGAUUCUCUCAGGAAACUGUCAAUCCCAGGCUGCCACAAACAUCCCUGGCAAACCCAGUUCAACAGAUGUUUAUCAAAGGACUUCUCCUUGCCCAGCACUUACCAGGUACUCUGGACUGUGUGGGAUAAUUGUGAGGUGAGAGACUUGAUGCCUUACUGGAAGAAACUCUGAAAGGAAUUUUAUGAAUUCAUCAGUGGUAGGACUGGUGGGAUGGCUCAGCAGUUAAGAGCACUGGCUGCUUUUACAGAGGUCCUGAGUUUAAUUCCCAGCAACCACAAGGUGACUCACAACCAUCUUUAAUGGGAUCUGAUGCCAUCUUCUGGCAUGCAGGUAUACGUGUAGACUGAGUGAGUACUCACACAUUAAAAAAAAAAAAAAAAGAAAAGAAAAAGAAAAAGAAAUCUUCAAUGGUAAUACGGUGAUGGGAAGAAUAUGUAAAAGUAAUAGGGGUAGUGUAUGGAAGUCCUGCUGAAUGAUGUAACAUGCCAUUCAUAGAUUCCUUCUUAUUCUCAAAACCAACCUUAAUGAUUAAAAAGACUAGUGUCUUUCUGUUCAGCUCCUAAAUAAAUCCAAGCUAUACCUCACAAUAUAAACAA